rnacentral:tRNA from 1 species
GAGGACUUAGCUUAAUUAAAGUAGUUGAUUUGCAUUCAACUGAUGUAGGAUAAAUUCUUGCAGUCCUUA